UACGUAGGGGGCUAGCGUUGUCCGGAUUUAUUGGGCGUAAAGAGCGUGUAGGCGGCCAGGUAGGUCUGCUGUGAAAACUCGAGGCUCAACCUCGAGACGUCGGCGGAAACCAUCUGGCUAGAGUCCGGAAGAGGAGAGUGGAAUUCCUGGUGUAGCGGUGAAAUGCGCAGAUAUCAGGAAGAACACCCGUGGCGAAGGCGUCUCUCUGGGACGGUACUGACGCUGAGACGCGAAAGCGUGGGGAGCGAACAGG
rnacentral:rRNA from 1 species